rnacentral:rRNA from 1 species
CAAUAGCGUAUAUUAAAAUUGUUGCAGUUAAAAAGCUCGUAGUUGGAUUUCUGGUUCGGCGCGCUUGGUCCCUCUCGGUCUUCGGGAGUGUGUACUGGUGCGCGCCAUCCAUCCUUCGAGUAAACACUUCUGCUCUCACGGGUAGAGGUGCUACCUCGAUCUUUUACUUUGAAAAAUUAGAGUGUUUAAAGCAGGCUUGCGCUAUGAAUACAUUAGCAUGGAAUAAUAAGAUAGGACUUUGGUACUAUUUUGCUGGUUUGCAUACCAAAUUAAUGAUCAACAGGAACAGUUUGAGGAUAUUCGUAUGAACAUGUCGGAGGUGAAAUUCUUGGAUUUUGAUCAGACGAACUACUGCGAAAGCAUUUAUCAAGGAUGUUUUCAUUAA